rnacentral:rRNA from 1 species
CCUACGGGAGGCAGCAGUGGGGAAUAUUGCACAAUGGGGGAAACCCUGAUGCAGCGACGCCGCGUGAGUGAAGAAGUAUUUCGGUACGUAAAGCUCUAUCAGCAGGGAAGAAAAUGACGGUACCUGACUAAGAAGCCCCGGCUAACUACGUGCCAGCAGCCGCGGUAAUACGUAGGGGGCAAGCGUUAUCCGAAUUUACUGGGUGUAAAGGGAGCGUAGACGGCAGCGCAAGUCUGGAGUGAAAUCCCAUGGCUUAACCAUGGAACUGCUUUGGAAACUGUGCAGCUAGAGUGCAGGAGAGGUAAGCGGAAUUCCUAGUGUAGCGGUGAAAUGCGUAGAUAUUAGGAGGAACACCAGUGGCGAAGGCGGCUUACUGGACUGUAACUGACGUUGAGGCUCGAAAGCGUGGGGAGCAAACAGGAUUAGAUACCCGAGUAGUC